rnacentral:rRNA from 1 species
UACGUAGGGUGCAAGCGUUGUCCGGAAUUAUUGGGCGUAAAGAGCUCGUAGGCGGUCUGUCGCGUCGGCUGUGAAAACCCGGAGCUCAACUCCGGGCCUGCAGUCGAUACGGGCAGACUGGAGUUCGGCAGGGGAGACUGGAAUUCCUGGUGUAGCGGUGAAAUGCGCAGAUAUCAGGAGGAACACCGGUGGCGAAGGCGGUUCUCUGGGCCUUACCUGACGCUGAGGAGCGAAAGCGUGGGGAGCAAACAGG